GACCAGUUCCUCGUCUGACUUGGAGGCAUCCGUGGUAACGACGCCGACCAGGCAUCCAGUCUCGCGCAGCACCUUGGUGAGCGCGCGGGUGUCAAGGUUCGCAAGCCCAAUCACAUUUUCCUUUUUGCAGUAUGCGUCAAGGCUCAUCUUGGAGCGAUAGUUCGAUACCACGCACGAGAGGUCGCGGACGAUGAUCGCCCCCAGAUGACACUUGCUAGAUUCCACGUCCUCUGCGAGAUGUACGAGACAUAAUUCUUAUCGUCAAUAUCAGCAAUUAAGACACAUGAGAAGGUGAGGCGAUGAGCUGCGCCGCACUUGGCACGGCUUACCAUAGUUGAUCCCGACGUUGCCGAUGUGAGGACACGUGAAAGCGACAAACUGGCCUUUGUAGGACGGGUCCGUCAUAAUCUCCUGGUAUCCCGUCAAGGAUGUGUUGAACACGACCUGCGAAUCCAACGUGACACAGCUUGUGACCUAUACCGACUAGGGCAUGUCGGGACCCACGUUGUAGGCUCAUCGGCGGCCCCUAACCGCUGCAACUAAGCUACGUCACGCGCUAACCUCCGAAUUAUAUCUUAUCAUCUUGUUUUACGUAUUAGAACCUCGCAAUCGGGCUCCGCUUGCCGUCGGCACACCAACCCUAGUUGUAGGUGAUUGACGCCCUCACCUCGCCUAUCUCCGUGCCGCUCGCACCAAACGCCGUCGCGUGCCAUACUGAGCCGUCUUCCAGUACCAGACGUGCAUUCUUCUUUGGGAAUGGUGAAGUAGCGGCUUCUGCGCGCACGACGACGGUGCGCACCCUGCCGCCGCUUAGGGCUGCGGCUCUGCGGAAGCCAUGGCACGUCCUCCGACCAGCAGAACGCCCAGUUACUGGCGUCGAGACUACUUGACGGCUGCAGGGAGCAUGCAAG
rnacentral:lncRNA from 1 species